rnacentral:rRNA from 1 species
AUGGCCCCAGUGAGCGUCGUGAGCUCCUGUUGUUACAACAAAUACGACGGUGAUGCAGACGCAGUGCGGCGUCUCAAGGACGCAGAGGCCGGUGCCGCCACUCCGGGACACAUGCCAUGUAGUGGCAGGAAUAUUGAGCCCUGCUGCUCUGUUUAUCAUGCAGAUUGCAGAGAUGUCAGAUCUUCACAUGGUUUCAGCGAGGACUGGUGCUGCGCCGGGGUCCCCUUCCGGUUCUCCUCUUUAUCUUACCUCCAUCCACCCACAAGACAACAAGCGGGGGCAGCAGUAGACGCCACUCCCAAUUAG